rnacentral:miRNA from 1 species
CCACCCAGUCCGCUCGGUCUGAAC